UCUUAUGGAUGAGAAAAGAAAGUUAUUUCUUGAAAUGGAAUCUACUCCUGAUGAAGAUGCUAUGAA
rnacentral:pre_miRNA from 1 species